AGUCAAUCUGUGCUCUUUGAUUACAGUUGUUCAACCAGUUACUAAUCUAACUAAUUGUAACUGGUUGAACAACUGAACCCAAAGGGUGCAAAGUAGAAACAUUUCAUUGUGA
rnacentral:ncRNA from 3 species